rnacentral:tRNA from 2 species
GACCCUAUCGUCUAGCGGUUAGGACACUGCCCUUUCACGGCAGGUGCACGGGUUCGAUUCCCGUUAGGGUCGCCA